AAAUGAAAUAAAAGACCUGAAGAGAAACAUAAAAGAUCUCAAACAGCAGUGUAAGGAGGACAAAAAAAGCCUGGCCUCCACCAAGCUGGAAAACAAGAAGCUUAAGGAAUCUUGUAAGUUCUAUAUGGCACACAGCGAGAGAAUGGAAAGGGAGAAUGGAGAAUUUAAGGCUAACCUGGAUCAGCAGAAAAAUAUAUUUGAGGCUGACAAAGGAAGCCUUGAAAAGACGCUGGAAAGUAUAACCAACCUGCUUCAGGAGAAGGAACAGACUCUACAGCAGAAACUGGCUCAGCAAGAACAACUUCACCGUGCGCGAGAGGCUCAGUUACUGUCAGAGGUCAAGGCCUGUGAAAUGAGCCUUACGGCAAUGACCACCAAACGGCAGGCAAAUGAGGAUUCCUACAAGACCCAGAUAAAAGAACUCGAAGAACAUUUUUCAGAUUUGGAAAUUUCUUCAAAAAAUGAAAACGACAUACUAAAG